rnacentral:SRP_RNA from 1 species
GGAAGAUCGGCGCGGGCGAAAUCUCGCUGGACUCGGUCAGGUCAGAAAUGAAGCAGCCGCAGGUGAAUUUUUUCGGGUCGCUGUCCGGUCUUCCACU